UGCCAGCAGCCGCGGUAAUACGGGGGGGGCAAGCGUUGUUCGGAAUUAUUGGGCGUAAAGGGCGCGCAGGCGGUCUUGUCCGUCAGGUGUGAAAGCCCGGGGCUCAACCCCGGAAGUGCAUUGGAAACUGGCGAACUUGAGUACGGGAGAGGAAAGUGGAAUUCCGAGUGUAGGGGUGAAAUCCGUAGAUAUUCGGAGGAACGCCGGUGGCGAAAGCGACACUCUGGCUCGUCCCUGACGCUGAGGCGCGAAAGCGUGGGUAGCAAACAGGAUUAGAUA
rnacentral:rRNA from 1 species